rnacentral:rRNA from 1 species
CCUACGGGGGGCAGCAGUGGGGAAUAUUGCGCAAUGGGCGAAAGCCUGACGCAGCGACGCCGCGUGAGGGAUGAAGGUCUUCGGAUCGUAAACCUCUGUCAACAGGGAAGAACGGUCACUGUGCUAAUCAGCAGUGAAUUGACGGUACCUGCAAAGGAAGCACCGGCUAACUCCGUGCCAGCAGCCGCGGUAAUACGGAGGGUGCGAGCGUUAAUCGGAAUUACUGGGCGUAAAGCGCUCGUAGGCGGUAUGUCAAGGCAAGGGUGAAAUCCCCGCGCUCAACGUGGGAACUGCCUUUGAAACUGGCAAACUGGAGUGUGUGAGAGGAUAGUGGAAUGCCAGGUGUAGGGGUGAAAUGCGUAGAUAUCUGGAAGAACAUCAGUGGCGAAGGCGACUAUCUGGCACAUAACUGACGCUGAGGAGCGAAAGCGUGGGUAGCGAACAGGAUUAGAUACCCUAGUAGUC